GGGCCCGCACAAGCGGUGGAGCAUGUGGUUUAAUUCGAUGAUACGCGAGGAACCUUACCAGGGCUUAAAUGGGAAAUGACAGGGGCAGAGACGCCCCCUUCUUCGGACAUUUUUCAAGGUGCUGCAUGGUUGUCGUCAGCUCGUGCCGUGAGGUGUCAGGUUAAGUCCUAUAACGAGCGCAACCCCUACCGUUAGUUGCCAGCGUGUAAUGACGGGGACUCUAACGGAACUGCCGGUGCAAACCGUGAGGAAGGUGGGGACGACGUCAAAUCAUCACGGCCCUUACGUCCUGGGCCACACACGUGCUACAAUGGUAGGUACAGAGGGAAGCCACCCCGCGAGGGGGAGCGGAUCUCACAAAACCGAUCGUAGUCCGGAUUGCAGUCUGCAACUCGACUGCAUG
rnacentral:rRNA from 1 species